UUCGAUCCUGGCUCAGAUUGAACGCUGGCGGGAUGCUACAUGCAAGUCGAACGGCAGCACGGACUUCGGUCUGGUGGCGAGUGGCAGACAGGUGAGUAAUGUAUCGGAACGUGCCUAGUAGCGGGGAUAACUACGCGAAAGCGUAGCUACGCUCCACCUGCCACGCUUCAGCGGGGAAGACGGGGGACCUUCGGGCCUCGCACUGGUAAAACAGCCGAUAUCGGAUUAGCUAUUAGUUGGUGGGGUAACGGCUCACCAAGGCGACGAUCCGUAGCUGGUUUGAGAGGACGACCAGCCACACUGGGACUGAGACACGGCCCAGACUCCUGCAGGAGGUAGCAGUGGGAAUUUUGGACAAUGGGGGAAACCUGAUCCAGCCAUCCCGCGUGUGCGAUGAAGGCCUUCGGGUUGUAAAAGCAUGGCGGAAAGAAACGGCACGGGAUAAUACCACGUGCAACUGACAACCACCUGCAGAAUAAGCACCGGCUAACUACGUGCCAGCAGCCGCGGUGAUACGUAGGGUGCAAGCGUUAAUCGGAAUUACUGGGCGUAAAGCGUGCGCAGGCGGUUCGGAAAGAAGAUGUAGAAAUCCAGAGCUUAACUUUGGAACUGCAUUUUUUAACUACCGAGCUAGAGUGUGUCAGAGGAGGUGGAAUUCCGCGUGUAGCAGUGAAAUGCGUAGAUAUGCGGAGGAACACCGAUGGCGAAGGCAGCCUCCUGGGAUAACACUGACGCUCAUGCACGAAAGCGUGGGAGCAAACAGGAUUAGAUACCCUGGUAGUCCACGCCCUAAACGAUGUCAACUGGCUAUUUGGGGCCUUCGGGCCUUGGUAGCGCAACUAACGCGUGAAGUUGACCGCCUGGGGAGUACGGUCGCAAGAUUAAAACUCAAAGGAAUUGACGGGGACCCGCACAAGCGGUGGAUGAUGUGGAUUAAUUCGAUGCAACGCGAAAAACCUUACCUACCCUUGACAUGUCUGGAAUCCCGAAGAGAUUUGGGAGUGCUCGCAAGAGAACCGGAACACAGGUGCUGCAUGGCUGUCGUCAGCUCGUGUCGUGAGAUGUUGGGUUAAGUCCCGCAACGAGCGCAACCCUUGUCAUUAGUUGCUACGAGGGGCACUCUAAUGAGACUGCCGGUGACAGAAUAGCCGAAGGAAGGUGGGGAUAGCGUCAAGUCCUCAUGGCCCAUAUGGGUAGGGCUUCACACGUCAUACAAUGGUCGGGACAGAGGUCGCCAACCCGCGAGGGGGAGCCAAUCCCAGAAACCCGAUCAUAGUCCGGAUCGCAGUCUGCAACUCGACUGCGUGAAGUCGGAAUCGCUAGUAAUCGCGGAUCAGCAUGUCGCGGUGAAUACGUUCCCGGGUCUUGUACACACCGCCCGUCACACCAUGGGAGUGGGUUUUACCAGAAGUAGUUAGCCUAACCGUAAGGAGGGCGAUUACCACGGUAGGAUUCAUGACUGGGGUGAAGUCGUAACAAGGUAA
rnacentral:rRNA from 1 species